rnacentral:rRNA from 1 species
CCUACGGGAGGCAGCAGUGGGGAAUAUUGGACAAUGGGGGCAACCCUGAUCCAGCCAUGCCGCGUGUGUGAAGAAGGCCCUCGGGUUGUAAAGCACUUUCAGUGAGGAAGAACGCCUGGUGGUUAAUACCCAUCAGGAAAGACAUCACUCACAGAAGAAGCACCGGCUAACUCCGUGCCAGCAGCCGCGGUAAUACGGAGGGUGCGAGCGUUAAUCGGAAUUACUGGGCGUAAAGCGCGCGUAGGUGGCUUGAUAAGCCGGUUGUGAAAGCCCCGGGCUCAACCUGGGAACGGCAUCCGGAACUGUCAAGCUAGAGUGCAGGAGAGGGAGGUAGAAUUCCCGGUGUAGCGGUGAAAUGCGUAGAGAUCAGGAGGAAUACCAGUGGCGAAGGCGGCCUUCUGGACUGACACUGACGCUGAGGUGCGAAAGCGUGGGUAGCAAACAGGAUUAGAUACCCGAGUAGUC